AGUGAACGCUGGCGGUAGGCCUAACACAUGCAAGUCGAACGGCAGCACAGUAGAAGUUUCCUCCUACGUGGGGCGUGUCGGGCGCGUGAGGGAUACAUCUCGGUCUGUCCAUUUUUGUGGGAUAACGUGUGGAAACUUAUACUAUUAUACCGUACGCCCUUCACGUGUGAGAGCAGGGUCUCAUCGCCUCUUGCGCGUUUGUGUGCCCCGAUGUCGGAUUAGAUAGUUGGCGGGGUAAAGGCCCACCAAGGCGACGAUCCGUAGCUGGUCUGAGAGGAUGAUCAGCCACACUGGAACUGAGACACGGUCCAGACUCCUACGGGAGGCAGCAGUGGGGAAUAUUGGACAAUGGGCGCAAGCCUGAUCCAGCCAUACCGCGUGGGUGAAGAAGGCCUUCGGGUUGUAAAGCCCUUUUGUUGGGAAAGAAAAGCAGCAGGUUAAUACCCUGGGGGGAUGACGGUACCCAAAGAAUAAGCACCGGCUAACUUCGUG
rnacentral:rRNA from 1 species